UACAGAGGUCUCGAGCGUUGUUCGGAUUCAUUGGGCGUAAAGGGCGCGUAGGCGGCGGGGUAAGUCUGGUGUGAAAUCUCGGAGCUCAACUCCGAAAUUGCACUGGAUACUGCUCUGCUAGAGGGCUGGAGAGGAGAUCGGAAUUCACGGUGUAGCAGUGAAAUGCGUAGAUAUCUGGAGGAACACCGGUGGCGAAGGCGGCAUCCUGGACCGGUAUUGACGCUGAGGCGCGAAAGCCAGGGGAGCAAACGGG
rnacentral:rRNA from 1 species